rnacentral:rRNA from 1 species
AUUGAACGCUGGCGGCAGGCCUAACACAUGCAAGUCGAACGAGUGGCGGACGGGUGAGUAAUGUAUGGGAAACUGCCUGAUGGAGGGGGAUAACUACUGGAAACGGUAGCUAAUACCGCAUACUAUCGGAUGUGCCCAUAGUGGAUGAGCUAGUAGGUGGGGUAAAGGCUCACCUAGGCGACGAUCCCUAGCUGGUCUGAGAGGAUGACCAGCCACACUGGAACUGAGACACGUCCCAGACUCCUACGGGAGGCAGCAGUGGGGAAUAUUGCACAAUGGGCGCAAGCCUGAUGCAGCCAUGCCGCGUGUAUGAAGAAGGCCUUCGGGUUGUAAAGUACUUUCAGCGGGGAGGCGGUACCCGCAGAAGAAGCACCGGCUAACUCCGUGCCAGCAGCCGCGGUAAUAC